rnacentral:misc_RNA from 1 species
CCGUGCCUGAAAUAUCCAAUAUUUAUAAGAACUGCAAAGUAGUUGUGCUAACAAAUGACACUAGUAGUCCUCAAAUUGAAAUUCCUUGCCAAAACAUAAUCAAUAUUUGUUUGAGACAUCAAAAGGGUUCAUCCAUUGGAUUUGACCAUCAAUCUGAAAAGGCUGACUCUAGCAACAGAAGGUCAGGACCAUUGGGCAUUAGCACGC